rnacentral:misc_RNA from 1 species
UUUCCGUAGGUGAACCUGCGGAAGGAUCAUUAAUGAGUUGUCAUGGGGUUCGAUGCUGGCAGCCAAUUUUUGGAUGCAUGUGCUUGCCCUAACAAUCAUCUUCCAAACACCUGUGCACAUUUUUGAGGGAGUCUUGAGUUGGUUGCCGCUCUUGGGUGAUCUUCUCACAUUCCCUUAAAUCAUUAUACGCUAUUUACAAUGUUGAACGUGCUCUGUGCCGCAAGGCUAUUAAUAUAAUACAACUUUUAACAACGGAUCUCUUGGCUCUC